GACGAACGCUGGCGUUGUGCUUAACACAUGCAAGUCGAACGGAAAGGCCCUGCUUUUGUGGGGUGCUCGAGUGGCGAACGGGUGAGUAACACGUGAGUAACCUGCCCUUGACUUUGGGAUAACUUCAGGAAACUGGGGCUAAUACCGGAUAGGAGCUCCUGCUGCAUGGUGGGGGUUGGAAAGUUUCGGCGGUUGGGGAUGGACUCGCGGCUUAUCAGCUUGUUGGUGGGGUAGUGGCUUACCAAGGCUUUGACGGGUAGCCGGCCUGAGAGGGUGACCGGCCACAUUGGGACUGAGAUACGGCCCAGACUCCUACGGGAGGCAGCAGUGGGGAAUAUUGCACAAUGGGCGGAAGCCUGAUGCAGCAACGCCGCGUGCGGGAUGACGGCCUUCGGGUUGUAAACCGCUUUCGCCUGUGACGAAGCGUGAGUGACGGUAAUGGGUAAAGAAGCACCGGCUAACUACGUGCCAGCAGCCGCGGUGAUACGUAGGGUGCGAGCGUUGUCCGGAUUUAUUGGGCGUAAAGGGCUCGUAGGUGGUUGAUCGCGUCGGAAGUGUAAUCUUGGGGCUUAACCCUGAGCGUGCUUUCGAUACGGGUUGACUUGAGGAAGGUAGGGGAGAAUGGAAUUCCUGGUGGAGCGGUGGAAUGCGCAGAUAUCAGGAGGAACACCAGUGGCGAAGGCGGUUCUCUGGGCCUUUCCUGACGCUGAGGAGCGAAAGCGUGGGGAGCGAACAGGCUUAGAUACCCUGGUAGUCCACGCUGUAAACGGUGGGUACUAGGUGUGGGGUCCAUUCCACGGGUUCCGUGCCGUAGCUAACGCUUUAAGUACCCCGCCUGGGGAGUACGGCCGCAAGGCUAAAACUCAAAGGAAUUGACGGGGCCCCGCACAAGCGGCGGAGCAUGCGGAUUAAUUCGAUGCAACGCGUAGAACCUUACCUGGGUUUGACAUGGAUCGGGAGUGCUCAGAGAUGGGUGUGCCUCUUUUGGGGUCGGUUCACAGGUGGUGCAUGGCUGUCGUCAGCUCGUGUCGUGAGAUGUUGGGUUAAGUCCCGCAACGAGCGCAACCCUUGUUCACUGUUGCCAGCACGUUAUGGUGGGGACUCAGUGGAGACCGCCGGGGUCAACUCGGAGGAAGGUGGGGAUGACGUCAAGUCAUCAUGCCCCUUAUGUCCAGGGCUUCACGCAUGCUACAAUGGCUGGUACAGAGAGUGGCGAGCCUGUGAGGGUGAGCGAAUCUCGGAAAGCCGGUCUCAGUUCGGAUUGGGGUCUGCAACUCGACCUCAUGAAGUCGGAGUCGCUAGUAAUCGCAGAUCAGCAACGCUGCGGUGAAUACGUUCCCGGG
rnacentral:rRNA from 1 species